GAUGAACGCUGGCGGCGUGCCUAAUACAUGCAAGUCGAGCGAACAGACGAGGAGCUUGCUCCUCUGACGUUAGCGGCGGACGGGUGAGUAACACGUGGAUAACCUACCUAUAAGACUGGGAUAACUUCGGGAAACCGGAGCUAAUACCGGAUAACAUGUUGAACCGCAUGGUUCAACAGUGAAAGACGGUCUUGCUGUCACUUAUAGAUGGAUCCGCGCCGCAUUAGCUAGUUGGUAAGGUAACGGCUUACCAAGGCAACGAUGCGUAGCCGACCUGAGAGGGUGAUCGGCCACACUGGAACUGAGACACGGUCCAGACUCCUACGGGAGGCAGCAGUAGGGAAUCUUCCGCAAUGGGCGAAAUCCUGACGGAGCAACGCCGCGUGAGUGAAGAAGGUCUUCGGAUCGUAAAACUCUGUUAUUAGGGAAGAACAAAUGUGUAAGUAACUAUGCGCGUCUUGACGGUACCUAAUCAGAAAGCCACGGCUAACUACGUG
rnacentral:rRNA from 1 species